rnacentral:rRNA from 1 species
ACGGAGGGUCCGAGCGUUAAUCGGAAUUACUGGGCGUAAAGCGCGCGUAGGUGGAUUGGUCAGUCAGAUGUGAAAGCCCAGGGCUCAACCUUGGAACUGCAUCUGAUACUGCUAGUCUAGAAUACAGUAGAGGGUAGUGGAAUUUCCUGUGUAGCGGUGAAAUGCGUAGAUAUAGGAAGGAACACCAGUGGCGAAGGCGACUACCUGGACUGAUAUUGACACUGAGGUGCGAAAGCGUGGGGAGCAAACAGG